GUGCUUGGAAAGUGCUGCCUGACUUCUGCCAGGAGGAGCAAAGCAACAGCGUCUGACCUGAGUGGUGGCAAAGCAGUGAUUUCCAGUUCCUUCUGAUGUUUGUUUCUUGCAAGCUGCUAAGGAUUCAGACCAACUUGAUGGAAAUAUACCUUUGACAGAUGACAGCAGGAUUUCAUGAGUGAUUUCUGUCUCAAGGCAACUGCCCCUCUUCACAGCCAGCAAGUAGCUCUAGCAUUUUAAAAGAACGAUGUCAGAGAGCAGCUUGGUUUUCUCAGUUGUCAUCAUUAUUUGUUUCUCUCCUGGCCAAACCACCAGAAGCAGGUUAAGGAUGACACAAGCUAGCAACAAAUCACGGGGUGGAGGACAGAGCAUGUGACAAUGCCCUGGCUAUGGUGCAAACAUUUGAGCUACGUUUCGAAAGCCUGGAUUUGUGUUCAGCAGAGUUCAUGAGUGAAAAAUAAAAGUCUCUGACGAUAACAAUCAACAA